UCUCUGGUGGCUCAGACAGUAAAGAAUCUGCCUGCAAUGCAGGAGACCCAGGUUCGAUCCCUGGGUGGGGAA
rnacentral:tRNA from 1 species